rnacentral:rRNA from 1 species
GACGAACGCUGGCGGCACGCUUAACACAUGCAAGUCGAACGGAAAGGCCUGCUUUCCCUUGUGGAUUGCGGGUACUCGAGUGGCGAACGGGUGAGUAACACGUGAGUGAUCUGCCCCCAACUUGGGUAUAAGCCUGGGAAACUGGGUCUAAUUCCCGAUAGGACUGCAGGGUGGUGCCUGUGGUGGAAAACGAUUUUCUAGUGGUUGGGGAUGAGCUCGCGGCCUAUCAGCUUGUUGGUGGGGUAAUGGCCUACCAAGGCGGCGACGGGUAGCCGGCCUGAGAGGGUGGACGGCCACAUUGGGACUGAGAUACGGCCCAGACUCCUACGGGAGGCAGCAGUGGGGAAUAUUGCACAAUGGGCGGAAGCCUGAGGCAGCGACGCCGCGUGGGGGAUGACGGCCUUCGGGUUGUAAACUCCUUUCGACCGCGAGGAAGCCACCUGGUUGGAAGGGUGGUGACGGUAGUGGUAGAAGAAGCACCGGCUAACUACGUG